AUGGGCCCGUGGGGCUGCGUGGCGCAGCGGCUCGGGGCGCUGUUGUGGCGCCGGGCCUUCUCCCCGGGAGCGUGCCCCGCGGCGGCCGCGGGACUCCGGCUUCGGCGGCUGUCCUUGGGGCCGCUUCCGGUGGGACCGACGCUCGGCAAAGUCUGCCCGGCCCCCGACCGAGCGCGCGGCCUGCACGACGGGCCGGGCAUGGAGGAGCGGGCGGAGGGAACAGCCGGCGAGGGGCGCCAGGAGUCCGGCACCGGAGAUCAUACUGGUCCCAAGUUUGACAUUGAUAUGCUGGUUUCACUUCUGAGGCAAGAAAAUGCAAGAGACAUUUGUGUCAUCAAGGUUCCUCCAGAAAUGAAAUAUACAGAUUACUUCGUAAUUGGUAGUGGAACUUCUACUCGACACUUACAUGCCAUGGCCUACUACAUUGUGAAAAUGUACAAAUACUUGAAAUGUAAAAGUGAGCCUCAUGUUAAGAUCGAAGGGAAGGACACUGAUGACUGGCUCUGUGUGGACUUUGGCAGCAUGGUGAUUCAUUUGAUGCUUCCAGAAACCAGAGAAACCUAUGAAUUAGAGAAAUUAUGGACCCUUCGUUCUUAUGAUGACCAGUUAGCUCAGAUAGCACCUGAGACCUUACCUGAAGACUUCAUUCUUGGAAUAGAAGAUGACACUUCAUCUCUGGCUCCUGUGGAGUUUAAAUGUGAAUAAAAUGGUAUCUGGAAAAUGAAGCUGCAUUUGGGGCACGUUACAGAUGAGGAAUGAUCCAUAUGUGGAUGUUGUAACACACUGCAGGCCUUACUACAGCUGUCAGUCUAACGAAGAUUCCUUUGGGGCUCUAUAAGCAUUCUUGGAACACACAUAUCAGAAGAGGUUUUGCCUUCCCACUGAACUCUUGACUGAAUAUUUGUGAAAGAGGCCUAUCCGGCACAGCCUCGCCAAGUCAACUUCUUCUGCUAUUCAUCAGCGAAGAACCAAAUGGAAAUACUGAAGAAUGAAAUAAUUUUAAGUCAUAAGAACAACGCCUCUCUUUUGAAAGCCCUGUACCUCACAGCCUGCUAGGGUGUUAUGCAAUUACCACAUUCCAUUUAUUCCAGAGGGACACUUUAAGGCCUCUCUUAUUUUAAUAACCGAACAGAAAUGAAUUAAUGCUGACUCUGCCCAUAAACUGUGCUCAGUGUUAGUAUCAAUUUAUUUUUUCAUUCUGGUCCUUAUAUUAAAACUGGUAUGUUAAUCUGAACCAAUUUUUAAAGUAAAGCUAGGAUCUGUUUUAUCUCACUGAGAACAUCCGUGCAAUGUUCUUCCGAAUAAUAAACUUUUUGUUAGGGGGGUGGGAGGAGUCAAGGGGCUAGCAGUAACAAAGACCUCAGGAUCAGACUAAAUCUAAUGCGUAACUCACCAAGGUCUGCCCCAUUGUAUUUUGCCAUGACUAUAUAAUUAUUUGCUUCCUGGGCCAUGUUCCAGAAAUAUUUUAUGCUGCUUACAAAAUAUACAAAAUCUAGAAAGAUAAGACAAAGGAGGUGAAGAAAUAAGAGCAUAGGGACCUCAACAGAAAAGAUAAAACCAGAAAUGCUGUUAUCAUACAAAUUUGGCUCUAAGCUUCCUAGCAGCUAAUUUAAUUAAAGAAAAAAAUUAGUUACAUGGUUUACCACAUCUUGAGAAAAACUGUUUAGUAAAAACUACUUUUCCUGGGACUGACCCCAGAGAGCAACUUCUGAAUGUCCUCAGAGGACUAAUGUAACAGGCAUCAUCCUGAGAGCAAAAGUCUCAGAGCCUCACAAACACGGCCUGAGCACAUCUCCGCCUAGAAGAUACCGAGGACCAUAGCUACGAGAAAAGCGCACGGUCAGAAAGUGUGUUGUAGUCUCAAAAGUUGAAGAAAAGCAAAAUCAUCUUUCUGAUACAGUCAUGGAUGAGAGGCUAUAGAUGCUUUUUGUUUUACUGAUUUUUGGGAGGUGGGGUAGGAGGUAACAAAUACAAUACAGAGAUUAAGAGUGAAUUUAAAAGUUGAGUGAAGAUUUGGAAAAGGAAUGGUGGACAGUAGAGAAGGGCUAAAAAGACCAAACUAUAAUAGAAAGAAGGGGCAAAGACAUAAAGAAAGCAUCAGUAUGCAGACCGAAAAAAGUUCCACACUGGGAGGUUAAAGGGAAGUAAAUGAAGCGUGCCAGGAGGCGGUAUCCUGGACUGACAGCAGUGUGUACUAUUGGUAAUAGCACCUUAAUGAAAAGGUGACUCAUCAGGUGUCUGAAGCCUGAUGAAGACGUUUCUGAAUGCCAUCCAAAUCCCUUUGUUCCAGUUCCAUAUCCACCAAGCACAUCCCUGACCAUAAAUUUCUUUUCAAGGAAACUUUCCUCUGGGAAUGUAAGGCACCUUGCAUAAACAUCCUGUCUACUGGACAGUCAUUAAACUGGCCCAUUCUUACAUGGGAUUCUGUGUAGUAAGCCAUGUUUUCAGGAUUAGAACACCCAGAUAAACAGAUAAUUUUUACAUAUAAAAUAAGAAGCCAGAACAAUGGGUUAUGAUAAGUCUCUUUCACCUGUGAAUCUAAGACUCUGAGAUGAGCUUAAAAAAAAAAAAACGCAUCAGCAUUACCCUAUAGCGUGACACAUUCUUUGCAUGUAAGUUAAUGUUCAGCUGCAUUAUCCUGAACCCCUCUUCCUAAA